rnacentral:tRNA from 1 species
GCUGGGGUAGCUCAGUUGGUAGAGCAACUGAUUCGUAAUCAGUAGGUCGGAGGUUCGACUCCUCUUUCCAGCA